rnacentral:rRNA from 1 species
GACGAACGCUGGCGGUGUGCUUAACACAUGCAAGUCGAACGGAAAGGCCCUGCUUUUGUGGGGUGCUCGAGUGGCGAACGGGUGAGUAACACGUGAGUAACCUGCCCUUGACUUUGGGAUAACUUCAGGAAACUGGGGCUAAUACCGGAUAGGAGCUCCUGCUGCAUGGUGGGGGUUGGAAAGUUUCGGCGGUUGGGGAUGGACUCGCGGCUUAUCAGCUUGUUGGUGGGGUAGUGGCUUACCAAGGCUUUGACGGGUAGCCGGCCUGAGAGGGUGACCGGCCACAUUGGGACUGAGAUACGGCCCAGACUCCUACGAGAGGCAGCAGUGGGGAAUAUUGCACAAUGGGCGGAAGCCUGAUGCAGCAACGCCGCGUGCGGGAUGACGGCCUUCGGGUUGUAAACCGCUUUCGCCUGUGACGAAGCGUGAGUGACGGUAAUGGGUAAAGAAGCACCGGCUAACUACGUG